UGUGUGUGACCCCGCAGGUUCGAACCUAAGCUGGUAGCACAGGAACCAAUUCCUAUACUAAUCGAAGUGACCAUCUAGCAAUGGUACCCGACGUCUGGAUAGGUCGAAGAGUUACAAUCGCAACACUCAGAGCCUACAUGAAUAUGGUUACUGUAUAAUUCAUCCUUUUGACCCCUGUGUUUAGGAUGACUCAGGAUUAAACUAUCAACCCUGAUCAGAUCAUUCGAAUCGUGCUCAACUCAAAUAGUCCUGUGACUCCUCACAAAGACUA
rnacentral:lncRNA from 1 species